rnacentral:rRNA from 1 species
GAUGAGCGCUGGCGGCGUGCCUAAUACAUGCAAGUCGAGCGAACGGACGAGAAGCUUGCUUCUCUGAUGUUAGCGGCGGACGGGUGAGUAACACGUGGAUAACCUACCUAUAAGACUGUGAUAACUUCGGGAAACCGGAGCUAAUACCGGCUAAUAUUUUGAACCGCAUGGUUCAAAAGUGAAAGACGGUCUUGCUGUCACUUAUAGAUGGAUCCGCGCUGGAUUAGCUAGUUGGUAAGGUAACGGCUUACCAAGUCAACGAUGCAUAGCCGACCUGAGAGGAUGAUCAGCCACACUGGGACUGAGACACGGUCCAGACUCCUACGGGAGGCAGCAGUGGGGAAUGUUGGACAAUGGGCGCAAGCCUGAUCCAGCAAGGCCGCGUGCAGGAUGAAGGCCUUCGGGUCGUAAAAUGCUGUUGUACGGAACGAAAAGACCUGUAAGAAAACAUGAGCGUCAUGACGGUACCGAAAGAAAAAGCACCGGCUAACUACGUG